rnacentral:rRNA from 1 species
GACGAACGCUGGCGGCGUGCUUAACACAUACAAGUCGAACGGAAAGGCCCUGCUUUUGUGGGGUGCUCGUGUGGCGAACGGGUGAGUAAAACGUGAGUAACAUGUCCCUGACUUUCGGAUAACAUCAGGAAAAUCGGGCUAAUAUCGGAGAGGAGCUACUGAUGCAUGGUGGGGGUUGGUAAAAGGCGGCGGUUUGGGCAGGAAUAGAUGGAUACGCGCUUGUUGGUGAGGUAGUGGAUUACAAAGGCUUAGAAGGGUAGCCGACCUGGGAGGUUGACCGGCGACAUGGGGACUGAGGUACGGCCCAGACGCCUACGUGACGCAGCAGGCGGGAGUAUUGCGCAAUGGGGGGGAGCCUGAUACAGCAGCGCCGGGUGCGUAAUGACGUGCUUCGGGUUGUAAACCGAUUUGGCAUGUAACGAAGCGUUAGUGACGGUAAUGGGUAAAGAAGCACCGGCUAACUACGUG